CCUACGGGGGGCAGCAGUAGGGAAUCUUCCACAAUGGACGAAAGUCUGAUGGAGCAACGCCGCGUGCGGGAUGAAGGCCUUCGGGUUGUAAACCGCUUUCAGCAGGGAAGAGACAGACGGUACCUGCAGAAGAAGCCCCGGCUAACUACGUGCCAGCAGCCGCGGUAAUACGUAGGGGGCGAGCGUUAUCCGGAUUCAUUGGGCGUAAAGCGCGCGCAGGCGGACCGUUAAGCGGGACCUCUAAUCCUGGGGCUCAACCUCAGGCCGGGUCCCGAACUGGCGGUCUCGAGUGCGGUAGGGGAGGG
rnacentral:rRNA from 1 species